rnacentral:lncRNA from 1 species
UCACAAUUACUUCGAGUGUGUCCAAAUUUUCGACAUACCCCACAUCUGUACUUCACUUUCUCACCCUAACCAUGAUAAAGAAGAACAGAAAAAGCAACUAACAUUAGUUAAUAACCCAAUAAAUCUACAAAUUGAAUUGGUACAAAAAAGAAAGAGUGUUAACUGGAGAGGGGCCAGUCUCGGCUCUGGGUGGUUGAGUAGAUGGCUGACUACUUGCUGGUUCACAUGGUAUUUGAUUAAUGAGAUCAAGCAGAACUUCAUCAGUCAAGCAGGCACUUGUUCCAACCAUUGAUUCAGUUGUGAAACAAAGAUGUGUGUCUGUACCAACAGUUGAAUGUUGAGGCUGGUAUACAUUUUCUUCUUGUUGUGGCUGAAGCUCUUCAUUUCGUGGACCAUUUGCUAUCUCAUGUUGACCACAUGUUGUUAUAUGUGGACCACGUGCUGCCUCAUUUGUGUUUGCAGUAUCUCUUUGUUGUGUAGCUUCCUACUCAUGUGGAUUAAAAGUGACAUGAUGUGUACUUGCUGCUGCUCUUCUAUUGCCAUUUGCUGCACUUGCAUUUUCUGGACACUUUCUACUGUUGUGGCCUAAUUUUUUGCACUUUCUACAUUUAUACUCUAUCAACCCAACUCUAGACAGCUUUUUAAGUU